rnacentral:rRNA from 1 species
UGCAAGUCGAGCGGAGUGAUGGUGCUUGCACUAUCACUUAGCGGCGGACGGGUGAGUAAUGCUUAGGAAUCUGCCUAUUAGUGGGGGACAACAUUUCGAAAGGAAUGCUAAUACCGCAUACGUCCUACGGGAGAAAGCAGGGGAUCUUCGGACCUUGCGCUAAUAGAUGAGCCUAAGUCGGAUUAGCUAGUUGGUGGGGUAAAGGCCUACCAAGGCGACGAUCUGUAGCGGGUCUGAGAGGAUGAUCCGCCACACUGGGACUGAGACACGGCCCAGACUCCUACGGGAGGCAGCAGUGGGGAAUAUUGGACAAUGGGCGCAAGCCUGAUCCAGCCAUGCCGCGUGUGUGAAGAAGGCCUUAUGGUUGUAAAGCACUUUAAGCGAGGAGGAGGCUACUGAAGUUAAUACCUUCAGAUAGUGGACGUUACUCGCAGAAUAAGCACCGGCUAACUCUGUGCCAGCAGCCGCGGUAAUACAGAGGGUGCAAGCGUUAAUCGGAUUUACUGGGCGUAAAGCGCGCGUAGGCGGCUAAUUAAGUCAAAUGUGAAAUCCCCGAGCUUAACUUGGGAAUUGCAUUCGAUACUGGUUAGCUAGAGUGUGGGAGAGGAUGGUAGAAUUCCAGGUGUAGCGGUGAAAUGCGUAGAGAUCUGGAGGAAUACCGAUGGCGAAGGCAGCCAUCUGGCCUAACACUGACGCUGAGGUGCGAAAGCAUGGGGAGCAAACAGGAUUAGAUACCCUGGUAGUCCAUGCCGUAAACGAUGUCUACUAGCCGUUGGGGCCUUUGAGGCUUUAGUGGCGCAGCUAACGCGAUAAGUAGACCGCCUGGGGAGUACGGUCGCAAGACUAAAACUCAAAUGAAUUGACGGGGGCCCGCACAAGCGGUGGAGCAUGUGGUUUAAUUCGAUGCAACGCGAAGAACCUUACCUGGCCUUGACAUAGUAAGAACUUUCCAGAGAUGGAUUGGUGCCUUCGGGAACUUACAUACAGGUGCUGCAUGGCUGUCGUCAGCUCGUGUCGUGAGAUGUUGGGUUAAGUCCCGCAACGAGCGCAACCCUUUUCCUUAUUUGCCAGCGAGUAAUGUCGGGAACUUUAAGGAUACUGCCAGUGACAAACUGGAGGAAGGCGGGGACGACGUCAAGUCAUCAUGGCCCUUACGGCCAGGGCUACACACGUGCUACAAUGGUCGGUACAAAGGGUUGCUACCUAGCGAUAGGAUGCUAAUCUC